rnacentral:rRNA from 1 species
AUUGAACGCUGGCGGCAGGCCUAACACAUGCAAGUCGAGCGGCAGCGGAAAGUAGCUUGCUACUUUGCCGGCGAGCGGCGGACGGGUGAGUAAUGUCUGGGAANCUGCCUGAUGGAGGGGGAUAACUACUGGAAACGGUAGCUAAUACCGCAUGACCUCGAAAGAGCAAAGUGGGGGAUCUUCGGACCUCACGCCAUCGGAUGUGCCCAGAUGGGAUUAGCUAGUAGGUGAGGUAAUGGCUCACCUAGGCGACGAUCCCUAGCUGGUCUGAGAGGAUGACCAGCCACACUGGAACUGAGACACGGUCCAGACUCCUACGGGAGGCAGCAGUGGGGAAUAUUGCACAAUGGGCGCAAGCCUGAUGCAGCCAUGCCGCGUGUGUGAAGAAGGCCUUAGGGUUGUAAAGCACUUUCAGCGAGGAGGAAGGCAUCACACUUAAUACGUGUGGUGAUGACG